CCACUGAGUGAUGGUGCAUGCACCUGAUUGACGAUGGAUCACCAGUGAGUGGCGGACGGGUGAGUAACACGUAGGUAACCUGCCCCGGAGCGGGGGAUAACAUUUGGAAACAGAUGCUAAUACCGCAUAACAACAAAAGCCACAUGGCUUUUGUUUGAAAGAUGGCUUUGGCUAUCACUCUGGGAUGGACCUGCGGUGCAUUAGCUAGUUGGUAAGGUAACGGCUUACCAAGGCGAUGAUGCAUAGCCGAGUUGAGAGACUGAUCGGCCACAAUGGAACUGAGACACGGUCCAUACUCCUACGGGAGGCAGCAGUAGGGAAUCUUCCACAAUGGGCGCAAGCCUGAUGGAGCAACACCGCGUGAGUGAAGAAGGGUUUCGGCUCGUAAAGCUCUGUUGUUGGAGAAGAACGUGCGUGAGAGUAACUGUUCACGCAGUGACGGUAUCCAACCAGAAAGUCACGGCUAACUACGUGCCAGCAGCCGCGGUAAUACGUAGGUGGCAAGCGUUAUCCGGAUUUAUUGGGCGUAAAGCGAGCGCAGGCGGUUGCUUAGGUCUGAUGUGAAAGCCUUCGGCUUAACCGAAGAAGUGCAUCGGAAACCGGGCGACUUGAGUGCAGAAGAGGACAGUGGAACUCCAUGUGUAGCGGUGGAAUGCGUAGAUAUAUGGAAGAACACCAGUGGCGAAGGCGGCUGUCUGGUCUGCAACUGACGCUGAGGCUCGAAAGCAUGGGUAGCGAACAGGAUUAGAUACCCUGGUAGUCCAUGCCGUAAACGAUGAGUGCUAGGUGUUGGAGGGUUUCCGCCCUUCAGUGCCGGAGCUAACGCAUUAAGCACUCCGCCUGGGGAGUACGACCGCAAGGUUGAAACUCAAAGGAAUUGACGGGGGCCCGCACAAGCGGUGGAGCAUGUGGUUUAAUUCGAAGCUACGCGAAGAACCUUACCAGGUCUUGACAUCUUGCGCUAACCUUAGAGAUAAGGCGUUCCCUUCGGGGACGCAAUGACAGGUGGUGCAUGGUCGUCGUCAGCUCGUGUCGUGAGAUGUUGGGUUAAGUCCCGCAACGAGCGCAACCCUUGUUACUAGUUGCCAGCAUUAAGUUGGGCACUCUAGUGAGACUGCCGGUGACAAACCGGAGGAAGGUGGGGACGACGUCAGAUCAUCAUGCCCCUUAUGACCUGGGCUACACACGUGCUACAAUGGACGGUACAACGAGUCGCAAGCUCGCGAGAGUAAGCUAAUCUCUUAAAGCCGUUCUCAGUUCGGACUGUAGGCUGCAACUCGCCUACACGAAGUCGGAAUCGCUAGUAAUCGCGGAUCAGCAUGCCGCGGUGAAUACGUUCCCGGGCUUUGUCCACGCCGCCCGUCACACCACAGGGAGUUCCAACGUCCCAAUGUCCGUGGCCAACAGUCUACAGAGACCCAGUGGUCC
rnacentral:rRNA from 1 species